rnacentral:pre_miRNA from 1 species
AUCACCUGGGGAUCUUGUUAAUAUCCAGAUGCUGACUCAGGUCUGGGGUGGGGACCAAGAAUUUGCAUUUCUAACAAGUUCCCAGGUGAUGCUGC